rnacentral:misc_RNA from 1 species
GUGAAUCAUCGAAUCUUUGAACGCAAAUUGCACUCUUUUCGGAGAGAAUGCGUGUUUGAGGGUCAGCCUAAAAAAAAUCGACAAAGUCGCUGUUUCGUGGUGACAUUCGCCGGAAAUUGGGUCAUCUUAAACCUUUGGGUAUUAAGCGGCUUAAAAAUUCCUUUACGAUUACACGAAGGUUUGUAUGAUUUAUUCUUUACGUUU